UAUUGUGGGACCUAGUCAAUUACGGGCAAAUUCUAAGGAACCGGUAAUUGGCAUCCGAGCCCCUCAGAAUAGCAGCAGUAGAGAUGGCAUAUUCGAUUUGGCUAAUCUUCACCAAGGAUAAAGCUAUGAUAAAGGAAAACGAACAAAUUUAAUAACAUGUACAUCUUCUGUAUACCCAAAGAGAUACCCAAAGAAAUUAACUCCAAAGAUGCCUCUUUCUCUGCUAAUUUGUUAAAAAAAAAAAAUAACAACCAAGAAUUAUGAAGAAGUGAGGUCUUUGUUCAUUUGCCCCUACCUUCCUGGUGUUCUGGUUUAUAUAAAGACUUCCACCAUUGAGGAAGUCUAUGUGAGCUUUAUAUCCCUGCCAUCAGGGCAAAAUGCCUGUCUUCAUGUAAAUGCCUGAGAAGAGUGUCAUGUGUCAGUUUAGAUAAUGAGAGUUCAUGUCUCUGUACUGCAUCUCUUAGAAUCCUUUUUAUUUGGUGAAAAGUUUUUUAACCUCUGAAUUAUGACUGGUCUCGUUCAUCAUUUCACAAGGUUAAACAGCAGAUGUCUUAAGUGUGGAACAAAAGAUACCCCCCCACACACACACACACACAUACACACACACUUGGUUUUUUUUCUCUCUUCCCCUGGCCUAUUCUUAGAGCUUGGAAUGGACCACAUUACCCUAUAGACUGACACAGUGGACUAGCCAACCCAUUGAAAAACAGCUUUCCAGCUUGCUGAUUCAUACCUUCUUUAAGCAGAGAUGAUUGCUCCUAACUUAUACUGUCUUUUUUUCUGACUCCUAAUGAGCUUUAGUCAAAAGAUCCUUUUUAUAUCACACAAAUAUUCAAAUAACCGAAGAAAUGACAAUGUCCAAAAUGAAUUCCAAAUUGAGAUAUUUUUCCCUUAGGUAAGCCAAAAUAUGAAUUAUUCUGUCCAUCUAUAAUGAAAAGUUAACUGAACUCAUGCUGGUUUGUCUCUAACAGCAUUAAGCUGCCACUUUUUGAUGAAGUUUGGUAAUUUAGUCCUGCAGCAUAAUGGCAGGAUCAAUGGACAAGGACUUGGACUCUAUUUUCAGUUCUAGCUCUGGCUCAUUACCAUUACUUUGCCCUGACCAUCUUCUAUUAUUACUUGGAAUCUCAAUUAUACUAGCAAUGCAGAAAGAUUUGGAAAAACUACCCUGUAAGCUAACAACUAAGAUGCAGCGGUCUUAAGUUUGCAAUUGGUGUGCCAUCAUAGUCUCAGGCAAGAAAACUGUCUAUCUUGGCAUCUCAGUUUCUUUAUCUGUAAAGACAUGAUAAAUUGCUUGUUCCUCUUUUCCCACCAGUUCCCUCACAGAAAUGCGGUAAUGGAAAUGAUAUUAACACUAUAAAAGAUUUUGGAUCUCUAGGCUGUUGCUACAUAAAGAGAAAGUCCUUUUUAUUUUCAACUGGCAUUUUUAGGUACUUCGUGCUCCCUGAGUUUGCACCAUAUCAAAUCCAUUUGGAAAAGAUUACUACAUAGACUGUUAUUCUUUGCAGAACCAUUGCAGAAAUAAAAUGGGCCACAGAGAAUACGCUUUAAGAAAAUAAAAUUGUUUCGCAAAA